rnacentral:rRNA from 1 species
CGAUGCAACGCGAGAACCUUACCUGGUUGGAAACCCUGGAAUCCUGCAGAGAUGUGGGAGUGGCUCUUUUAGAGAAUCAGGUGUCCAGGUGCUGCAUGGUUGUCGUCAGCUCGUGUCGUGAGAUGUUGGGUUAAGUCCCGCAACGAGCGCAACCCCUGUUGUAGUUGCCAGCGAUUCGGUCGGGCACUCUAACGAGACUGCCGGUGGUAAGCCGAGGAAGUGGGGAUGACGUCAAAUCCUCAUGGCCCUUAUGCCCAGGGCUACACACGUACUACAAUGGUCGGUACAAAGGGCUGCGACCCCGCGAGGGUGAGCCAAUCCCAAAAAGCCGACCUCAGUUCGGAUUGUAGUCUGCAACUCGACUACAUGAAGGUGGAAUCGCUAGUAAUCGCGGAUCAGCAUGCCGCGGUGAAUGCGUUCCCGGGUCUU